rnacentral:lncRNA from 1 species
GUUGCUCCUAGAUUGAUUUUGAUGAUUACAAAGCAGAUUGAAGGGAUACAAAUAAUUUUAAAAUGAAAAAGUCCUUAUGCUCUUCAAGGGCAAAAUUAUAAUUUUACUAAAAUCCUGAUUUGAUAGUACCAUUUGGUAGAACAAAUGAUUUGAAAUCUAUUGGUGAAAAUUUCAUUAUGUUUGGACUUAUAUUUUUGAAGUUAUGA